ACACAUUUUAUUUGAAAGCAUUGAAUAAGUAGCUCAGGCUCUCGCUCAGACUUAAGGGGCUGAUGAACUACGCCCCCGCCGCAACCAGCUUUCUCUGCACCCCAAUCCAGCCCCGCUCCAGACGACGGGCUUAGAUUCUGCUAUCACGUAGGCAGUGAGCCUGGGGAAGAUGCGAUGCCUCCCUUGAAACCAUCAAGACAGAUAUCCGCUGGUUUUAGGGUGUCCCCCAAGGCAAGCAUCUGGGACGCCUCCGGCAUAUGCUCGCCCUCGGGGCCCGACCAGGAGGCUCCAGCUUUGCAAGGCGCCACCGCCCAGAGCUCAGGUCUGGGUUGGAAGGGUGGGCGGCACCGCCUCAGGGUACGUUCUCCCGACUUCGGAGAGAAAGAAAGGAAGAAAUGCACCCUAGGAAAAGGGGCUUCGACUUUUUGUGCCUGUGCUUUCAUGGAAGUCACCAGCUCUCGGCUGCUUAAGAUGCUACUCAGAAGCGCGCCCAGCCAGGCUGUGGCCAUCCGCGCCAAGUCCUCGUGUCCUGGUCGACGAGCACUUUGGGUAGCACCGCGACACACAAUAGCCACCACGGUUAGGAGAUAUGCUCGCUAUGCUUACCUGUUGGCAAAAAUAAAAUGCAAAAUAAAAAUUUAAAUUUGGAAACUAACACAUGGUGACAUCUUCUAGAACCACAGCUCUUUCUUCAGACAAAAGCCAAUUUUACCAUCCCGCAAACCCAUUGAGCCCUGGAAGUUCCGUUCGCGGCACUUUGGCGCCCUCUGGCUUUAUCAGGGUGGCUUGCUUGUUCUGCUUCGUCCUGAAAGAAUAGCGGAGGGGGGGGGGAAUGGAAAUGUAUGUUGCCUUCUUGGUUGGAUCUCCCCUCAUGAGUGAAGCACAGAUUUGGGAUGAGCUUGCCCUCCACGUCCGGAAUAACGAAACACAACUACAUUUAGGGAGACGAAUGCCAAAGGUAACAGGAACACCAGGAAAGGAGGAGACUGAAAUGGAUGAAGGAAGGGUCACCACCACCACCCCUUGGGCCAGGAAAGAAACCUGGCAGCUGUGAAGAAGGAAAAUGGUUUUCUACAACUACUUCUUGUGAGAGGCAGUCCCAUGGUAGCUCACUGCAUCUCAUCCUAUUGAGCAAGGGCUCUUAACAUCAUCCCUCUGGGUUCAUGUUUACCUGCCUCUGGACUGAAUAGUCAUCUAUUUCCAAACUUUUGUGAGUCUAGAUGUCAAGCUCAACUUAUCAGUGAAACACAUGAGGUCAUCCGAAAUGCUGACAAAAGACAGUUGGGGUACAAUGGAAAUCCAGACCUUGACUGUAUGCUAAGAAUGAGUAAGCACGACUGAACACAGCAUCCGCUUAGAGAUGUUCUCAAAGCCAAGCCAUCCCACUGAGCAUGUUAUUCUCACAGCACCUUUAAAAGAAGUUUGUUUUCCCAAAUUGAGAUAAAGGAGUGGGCGCAGCUUGUUGGAGUAAGACACCAACGGAAUCCUCUUGGGGGUUCCACCAUUUGGAACUGCAACAUCCAUUGCUGGCCCCAGCCUGAGAUGGCUGUUCCUCCUUUGAUGUUGAGAUGGUGCCUGACCCACGAGCUACAGCAAAUCAGCUGAGUCACUCAGGUACUAAAAUGAAGCCACUGUCGAAUGUCCGUGUCACUGAGGAUGUUUGAGACUACAAGCACAGGAGACAGAUGUGACCUAAUGUGGCUUCAAGCAUUAGAUCAAUGCUUAUCUCACGUUAACAAGGGAUCUAGAGACAGGUGGACCCAGGGCUGUGCAGCUCUCUGCAGUUGUCUCUGCCUUAGAAGGACAGCUAUGACAAAAUCAAGCAGAGCCUUGGCCACAUCUCCCUGAGUUUAAGUCCCAUUCUCCUGGGUUCUGAAGGCCCCACAAGGUAUCUACCAUCCCCAGCCUCAGCCCCUCCUCUGUCAAUUAGACAGAAUAACAAUACCUCCCUUGUGGCCUUGCCAUAGCAUUAAGUCAUCUAAGUGCUUGUCUAGAACCUGGCACAGAGUAAGUACCGCUCAAAUGUUAGUUCUCGCCAUCUUUACUUAUUUAUAACUUCAGCUCAGUAUUACAAGACAGUCCCAAGGCAGCAACCUUUCAUGCGGCCCAUGACAAUGGGUACACACAGAAACACAGGAAGGCAUAGAAUAGAGCUCGCAUGAAGUAAUGGUGGCCUGAGUUUUUAUCUUUCUGGGCAUUUCUCUCUUUCAACAGGGGAAUGCCCUCUCCCAGUUCUCCAUCCCUCACUGUUGGGUUGUCUAGACUAUAUAUAUUAAUUAACUAAUUAAUUAACUAACUAACUAAUUAAUGUAUAUGAGUACACCAUUGCUGUCUUCAGACACACCACAUCAGACCCCAUUGCAGAUGGUUUUGAGCCACCAUGUCAUUGCUGGGGAUUGAACUCAGGACCCCUGGAAGAGCAGUCAGUGCUCUUAACCACUGAGCCAUCUCUCCAGUCUCCAGCUAAACUGUUUCACAUGCUGACUUCCAAGCUGGUGCAACCAUCAUGGUUUAGACCAGUGGUUCUCCACCUUCCUAACACUGUGACCCUUUAAAACAAUUCCUCAUGUUGUGCUGACCCAACCAUAAAUUUACUUCCAUUCCUUCCUCAUAACUGUAUAUAACUGUAUAUAACUAUACACUAUAACCCAUAAUAUAAUUAUUUGUGUUUUCUGAUGGUCCUGGUCGCCCCCUGUGAAAGGGUUGUUCAACAACCCUCCAAAGGGGUCAUGACUCACAAGUUAAGAACCACUCGUUUAGACUCUGUGCUACCUAACAUAAUGGCCACCAGCCAUAUGAAGGAUUUUCUAUUUUACAAGAUUGUGUGUGUGCGCAUUUGCACACAAUGACAAUUUUUUUAAAUAAAGAUUUACUUUUAUUUC
rnacentral:lncRNA from 1 species